rnacentral:rRNA from 1 species
UGGUUUAAUUCGACGCAACGCGCAGUAACCUUACCUGGGCUUGACAUCCCUGGAAUCUGCUGGAAACAGUGGAGUGCCUGCAACCGCAGGAGCCAGGAGACAGGUGCUGCAUGGCUGUCGUCAGCUCGUGUCGUGAGAUGUUGGGUUAAGUCCCGCAACGAGCGCAACCCUCGCCUUUAGUUGCCAGCAUUCAGUUGGGCACUCUAAAGGGACUGCCGGUGUCAAACCGGAGGAAGGCGGGAUGACGUCAAGUCCUCAUGGCCUUUAUGUCCAGGGCUACACACGUACUACAAUGGCCGGUACAAAGGGCAGCCACUCAGCGAUGAGGCGCUAAUCCCAUAAAGCCGGUCUCAGUCCGGAUCGCAGUCUGCAACUCGACUGCGUGAAGUUGGAAUCGCUAGUAAUCGUAGAUCAGCAUGCUACGGUGAAUACGUUCCCGGGCCUU